UACGAGGGGGGCGAGCGUUGUUCGGAAUUAUUGGGCGUAAAGGGUGCGUAGGCGGUUUGGUAAGUCUUGUGUGAAAUCUACAGGCUCAACUUGUAGUCUGCACGAGAAACUGCCGGGCUUGAGUGUGGGAGAGGUGAGUGGAAUUCCUGGUGUAGCGGUGAAAUGCGUAGAUAUCAGGAGGAACACCUGUGGCGAAAGCGGCGCACUGGACCACAACUGACGCUGAGGCGCGAAAGCUAGGGGAGCAAACAGG
rnacentral:rRNA from 1 species